rnacentral:rRNA from 1 species
GAUGAACGCUGGCGGCGUGCCUAAUACAUGCAAGUCGAGCGAACAGAUGAGGAGCUUGCUCCUCUGACGUUAGCGGCGGACGGGUGAGUAACACGUGGAUAACCUACCUAUAAGACUGGGAUAACUUCGGGAAACCGGAGCUAAUACCGGAUAAUAUAUUGAACCGCAUGGUUCAAUAUUGAAAGACGGUUUUGCUGUCACUUAUAGAUGUAUCCGCGCCGCAUUAGCUAGUUGGUAAGGUAACGGCUUACCAAGGCAACGAUGCGUAGCCGACCUGAGAGGGUGAUCGGCCACACUGGAACUGAGACACGGUCCAGACUCCUACGGGAGGCAGCAGUAGGGAAUCUUCCGCAAUGGGCGAAAGCCUGACGGAGCAACGCCGCGUGAGUGAUGAAGGUCUUCGGAUCGUAAAACUCUGUUAUUAGGGAAGAACAAAUGUGUAAGUAACUAUGCACGUCUUGACGGUACCUAAUCAGAAAGCCUCGGCUAACUACGCG